GACGAACGCUGGCGGCGUGCCUAAUACAUGCAAGUCGAACGCUGAAGGAGGAGCUUGCUUCUCUGGAUGAGUUGCGAACGGGUGAGUAACGCGUAGGUAACCUGCCUUGUAGCGGGGGAUAACUAUUGGAAACGAUAGCUAAUACCGCAUAACAGUAGAUAUCGCAUGAUAUCUACUUGAAAGUUGCAAUUGCAUCACUACCAGAUGGACCUGCGUUGUAUUAGCUAGUUGGUGAGGUAACGGCUCACCAAGGCGACGAUACAUAGCCGACCUGAGAGGGUGAGCGGCCACACUGGGACUGAGACACGGCCCAGACUCCUACGGGAGGCAGCAGUAGGGAAUCUUCGGCAAUGGACGGAAGUCUGACCGAGCAACGCCGCGUGAGUGAAGAAGGUUGUCGGAUCGUAAAGCUCUGUUGUAAGAGAAGAACGAGGGUGAGAGUGGAAAGUUCACACUGUGACGGUAUCUUACCAGAAAGGGACGGCUAACUACGUG
rnacentral:rRNA from 1 species